rnacentral:ribozyme from 14 species
UUUUUUUUUUUUUUUUUUUUUUAGUUACAAUAUAUAUCAUACUUUGUGUGUGUGUGUGUUUCGAUUAUUAUGAACACAAACAUACAAAAAAGGGCUGAGCAAUAUACAAUCUUUCUUUAUAAAGGAAAAGAAA